GCCUGGCUGGCACAGUCAGUAGAGCACAUGACUCUUGAUCUCGGGGUUGUGAGUUCGAGCCCCACGUUGGGUU
rnacentral:tRNA from 1 species